rnacentral:rRNA from 1 species
AAACCAACAGGGAUUGCCUCAGUAACGGCGAGUGAAGCGGCAAAAGCUCAAAUUUGAAAUCUGGUUCGCCCGAGUUGUAAUUUGAAGAGGUUGUUUUGGAAGCGGCUCUUGUCUAUGUUCCUUGGAACAGGACGUCACAGAGGGUGAGAAUCCCGUGCGAUGAGAUGCCCGCUUCUAUGUAAAACGUCCUCGACGAGUCGAGUUGUUUGGGAAUGCAGCUCUAAGUGGGUGGUAAAUUCCAUCUAAAGCUAAAUAUUGGCGAGAGACCGAUAGCGAACAAGUACAGUGAUGGAAAGAUGAAAAGAACUUUGAAAAGAGAGUGAAAAAGAAUGUGAAAUUGUUGAAAGGGAAGGACUUGAGAUCAGACUUGGAGGAUUUAUCCUUCUGGGCCAGCAUCAGCUCGGGGGGCGGGAGAAUGGCGCAGGAAAGUAGCUCAUUGAGUGUUAUAGCCUGCGUUGAUGCCGCCACUCUGGGCUGAGGACUGCGGAAACAAGGAUGUUGGCAUAAUGAUCUUAAGUCGCCCG